UUUGCCGUUCAAAAGUUCAGACACAUCAAAAGAGCCGUUGUUCUCUCUCUCUCUCUCUCUCUCUCUCUCUCUCUCUCUCUCUCUCUCCUGAAUCUGCAGUCGACCGUUGACAAGGAAAGUGCCAAUUGCACGUUCCAACGGUCGUAAGUAAAGAUGAAACUAGUAUAAAUACAAACCUGGUCCAGCUGAUUUCUUCGAAUUCAGUCGACUGACUCACAAUUAAUAUUGGGCGGGUUAUCAAUUACUCUAUUCAAUAUUGAUUAUUGAGAGAGAGAGAGAGAGAGGUGGGCGAUGGGUUCUUCUAUCUUUCUAGAGAGAGAGAGAGAGAGUGCCAGGGCGGCGAUGAUGUUGAUUUAGGGUUUUAGAGUGAUUUAUUGGGAAGUAAGUAACUCUGAGCUCCUGAGGCGUUACUGUAAUAAUUGAUGGCUGUUGUCGGAGAGGAAGAACAGCGAAGAUUCUCUAACGCGAUCGAACAACAACGGAAACUACCAACUGGAACUCGUUGUUGAAUGGCUCCCGCAGGCCAACAGCAGUCAGUUGCUUCCCAUCGCGAAGCUUAACCGGAAAAGAUAUUCCAGUCUUGGGUUCGACUUCAACCGGAAUAUCCUCGUCUUUUACAGCAGCAGCAGCAGAGCAACACCGGACUUGGGAUCGAGCUCCAGCAUUUCGGUUUUCUCUGCAACUUCAUUCACUGUGGAUAUCUAAUUGGGUUAAAAAACUGAAGUUGAGCAAAGGGAAAGAGCCUAUAAUUCGUCUCCCUACGAAUUCGGUGGAGAGACUACUGCACAACGAGAGGGGCAGAAUAAAUAAUUGAAAAAUUACUAGUUCUACAUAGCGUGGUGAAUGGACAGUGGAUUUUAAAUAACUACGUACACCUGCCUCCGCCGCCGAGGUAGAUGCACAUAUGGAUCCGCAGGAAGACGAGGACGCAGACUACUUUGACUAGAACUGCUAUUACUUCCGGUGGUUCUACUCCUAAGAUUCAUUUUCGAACUUGGCGGUUGACUAGUCGGGCGGGCACCCGGUGGAUCUGAGUUGACUCCGAGUUUCGGAGCACGCGCCUACGACAUCUGAGAGGGAAAUGUAACACGUUGCGAUCACACGACAAAUCUACUUGGUCCCCCCACCACAAUCGAUGUUUGUUUUGUUUUACUACUAGAGAGUACGGACUUGUAUCACCUGCGUGAUUGUUCUCUCCCUCAGCACAAUAAUCCACUGAUAGAGGCUUUUAUUGAGAGGUGGCAGCCAGACACCAACACUUUUCAUAUGUAGUUCAGAGAGGUGACAAUUGCUCUCCACGAUGUGCAUUACAUAAUGCA